rfam:Nicotiana attenuata strain TT chromosome 2, whole genome shotgun sequence.
UGUACCUUUAUCCUUGGAGGCUAAGUUGGUAAUUUUUCUUACAUCUCCCCCUCUCGGAGCCCAGGUAUCAUAUACGCCCCCAAAAUAAAGAGCCUUGAAUACUAGAAGAAAAUUGAAAAAUAAAAUUAAGAGUGCUUAGUGUUUGGUCUUCUUUGUUCUA